GCAGAUGGGGCUGCAGAACCUGAUGGUGGGGAUGUGGAAGGCUGGGCUCCAGCCUAGCCCCGCAGUAUCCCCCACCCAGGCUGUCGCUGCUGGUGGAAGAGGAAGAAUCAUCUGCUGUUGCAGCAUAGAGAAGGCGACCAGAGCUAGUGGAAAGGCGGAGGUGCUGAUGCCGGGCACCCUCCUCCGGCUCCCCGGGGCGCUGGGUGUGCUUAAAGGAUCUUGGCAAUGAGUAGUAGGAGAGGACUGGCUUGUGCUGGGGGUCCUCAGGGCCGUAGUAGCAGUCGGAGGGGCUGCUGGUGUUGGAGUCCCCCACUGGUGACAUGUUCAUGUAGUCACCUGUGCAAGGAAAUUAAAAUUUUAAGGGCUAAUUCCCCUUCAUUCAAGAAAUAUUUACUGUGAUGAAGACAUGUUCCAUGCAGAGGAAAUGGCCAAUGCAAAGAGCCCCUGACUGGAGGGCAUUUGGCACAUUCUAGGAGAGUGAGGAGGAUUCUAUGGGCCAGGAAUUCAGACAGGGCACAGUGUUGAUGGCUUGUCUGUGUCCUGGCUGGGAUGGCUCAAAUGGUUGUGGGACUAUUUGACUUGAAAGGCUGGAGCCUGGAAUCAUUUGAAACAUUGUUCACUCAUGUGUCUGGCACCUGCGUUAGAAUGACUGAAGGCUACAUCAACUAGAGUACUUACAUCCGGUCUCUCCAUGUGACUUGGACUUUUCACAGCGUGGAGGCUGGAUUUCAAAGGUCAACUGAGAAUGGCAGAGGACUCAUCCCACCUUUGCCACAUGGUGACUUGCCCCACUCCCCCAGGUCAAAUAUGACAUGGCAUUGCAA
rnacentral:lncRNA from 10 species